ensembl:snRNA U6 U6 spliceosomal RNA
GUGCUCACUUUGGCAGCACAUACACUAAAAUUGAGAUGGCACAGAGAAGAUUAGCAUGGCCCUUUGCACAAGGAUGACAUACAAAUUCAUGAAGUCUCCCAUAUUUUU